GUUUCCUGGGUACCAGAGGCCUUUCUAAGGACUGCAAUCCUGAGCCAAACUGGGAAGAAAGUUCUGUUCUUACAAAGAAGGAAUGCUGUUUGUUUCAGCUGUGUGAACACAUGCAGGUGCCGUAUCACUUCAGAAUAUCCCGUCUCCAUUCAUUCUCUCAUCCAUAUAAAGGCGAAGGUCUCCUUCAAAGCUUUAAGAAGAAUUUAUACUUAAUGGAAUUUGUCUCUUUCAGAAUUGGUGUGUGGAAAUCAGUAUAAGUAAAAAUUGCCUGCGAUUACUGAUCUUUGUGAGAUCUGCUGCUAUUGUGUCACAAAUUAAUCACUAAAAAACU